rnacentral:rRNA from 1 species
UACGAAGGGGGCUAGCGUUGUUCGGAAUCACUGGGCGUAAAGCGCACGUAGGCGGAUUGUUAAGUCGGGGGUGAAAUCCUGAGGCUCAACCUCAGAACUGCCUUCGAUACUGGCAAUCUCGAGUCCGGAAGAGGUUGGUGGAACAGCUAGUGUAGAGGUGAAAUUCGUAGAUAUUAGCUAGAACACCAGUGGCGAAGGCGGCCAACUGGUCCGGUACGUGACGCUGAGUGCGAAAGCGUGGGGAGCAAACAGGG